GGCCUCCUGGUGCUUACCACUGUUGUGUUCUUGCACUGACUGUAUAGAAAGAGGAGGCAGAGUAAACCCUUGAGCCUGGUCUGUACUGUGAAGGGGGGUACAUGG